rnacentral:lncRNA from 1 species
CAUUUCAAGCAAAAUAAGAGCUUCUCUCAUCCGAUUUUGGCGUGUAUAGAUGACCAAGAGAUGAUCCUCCCAUUUUUACACUACAAGACUUGUCGAAUCUCUCUACCUCAGUCGAGAUCUUACCAUUUCGUGCAAGAACUGAGCGAAUCACGUGAAUCCCUAUUACUAUGCCAACGUUCGGAUUUGAACGGCUCUGUUUGACUUCAUUUGAAAUCUGAAAAUUUCAAAUCCCGCUCAGAAACGGAACCCUAGUUUUCUCCUAUAAAUACUCCUCAACUCUCCAGCCGAAAGAUCAUCUUUUGGAAUCCUGGAAAAUAGAUAGAACACGGCAAAAUCGAAUCAAUAAGUAAUUCUCUUCUUUUCUGUAAUCUCUGUCCCUAUUUAGUUAGCUAAAACAGAGUUUCGAUCUUGUUACGUGGAGGGAGUAAAUUUGAAGCUUCUCAAACUCCCGUUCACUGCACCACACCAGGUGAAAUUCGGACCCAUUCUUAUUUUCGUUAUCGCCGACGAGUUUUCUUUGUGUUAGAACUCAUGCUUUAGGUUUUCGAAAGCCUGUUUAUUGAACCUUGUGACAGAGUGUAUAGACUUCACGCAAUAGAAACUUUGUCCUUAGGAAAACUGAUUUUAUGACUACUUGUUCAAAUACUUGUUUGAUGAAUGUUUGACGAAAUGCCUGUAUGUAUACAUUAGUUUUCAUUUGUUGGGAUGUAACCAUGUGCAGGCUCUUAAAUGAUUAUUGGUGUGCCGACGGCGUACUGUUUAAUUAUGAACACACACGAAAAUGUCCUUGCUCCUAAACUCUUAGUUGGAAGUUAGUUCAGAAUUCUCUUUAAUUUCACCCAUUCCAUGGAUCAUUGAAUCAGUUAAUGUGUUGCAUUUUUUCUUGUUUAUUUUAGUUGCAUUAUGGUAGUAUAGAAACCAUGUAUGUUAGAAGAUUUAUAUCUAUGUAAUACUUGUAAUCUGAAUGCAAUAGAACUAGUAUGCUUAACAAUGGGCUGGAGUCUCUCCCCUAUUUUAGAGAUCAUGAUCUAGUUAUUGUUUAGGUUAUAGAGGUUAUGCCCAAAACAAUCUGCUUGUCUGUAUGAUAAAUUAAAUAUAGUUGCUGAUUUAAAUGUUGAGGCUUUGGUUUUCUGCUAGCAAUAGAGUUAAACAUCUAUAAUAACUUAGUAAUAAUGAAAACUGAGUUCAUAGGUACAUGUUAGACAUAUUUUUAGGCCUCAAUUGUAUUCUGUCAAACUUAAGGAAUAUAUAAUAGCAUGUUAGCUUUGUUAAGAAUUAAACCUGAUUUGUUUUCAUUAUAGAGAUCUUGAUUUUUGCUUAGGGAUAAACUACAGAACAUAUAAAUUGCUCUAGAUUUGCCCUUAACAGAGCCAUGUCCUAAGAAGUAGAAACCAUGUAUUGUUCUUUCUUUAAGAAAUAUUGGAUAUACACAUGUUCUUGAAAUUUUAAGAAUCUCUUCUCUGUUUGUUACAACUAAUUGUAUUUGUUUUAUCUGGAAUAUUGAGCUUGUCCGAACACAUAUAAUAUCUAUGUGUUACAGUGUUAACAUGGUUUGUUUGUGUAGUUUAGAGACUAUUAGAUUACAUAACAAUAUGACGCUUUACUUUAUCUAUUUUCCUGUGAAUGUUUAAGAAUCAGAGCCAAAGAGUUUCAAUUUAAGACUCAACGACGCCAUAAAAAUCGCAUGGAGUCAGCACACUUUGAUGUUUCACUGCUUAUGUAGCGACAAAACAACAAAAUUAUUCCGCAUGGCGGUUCUGGCGGAGAAGCCAGUCAAUUGUCCUUUACAUUUCUGCAUUAAUCACAAUGUUGCUUCUUUGUGUUUGGUGACAGUUUAAAUAGUCAUAUUUUAGAAUCUUAAUUGUUAUGUGAUACUAUAUCAAUUCGGCGAGGCGUCUUUCUAGAUAAUAAUAGAGAUACUCAUCACAUAGAACACAUCUUGACAUAGGGAAUAUUAACAACAUUGGUUUUUCAACUAUAUAAUUGUUUUUCUUAUUUGAACUUUUGGAAUUAGCUUUGUAAAAUGGGCAAAACGUGAGUUUAACCAAAUCUACUAUAUUAAGUUAAUCUACUUUACAUGCACGUAGACUUGUAGAACUCUUUAGACGUAACAAUAACUUUAAACACAACACAUGUCUUAGCCUUUAAUCAAUUGACUUAAGUCCGGUUGGUAAACCAUUUUAAUGUGGAUCUUAAGUAGUGCUUUACACCUUUUCUUUAAGAUUAAUUGAAUCCCUUACCUUAGAAUCUCUAAUGUUUAGUAGACCUUAUAGAGUUAAUAAUUGAUAAUUUAGGUGUCCUAACUCACCUUUUAAUAUAGUUAGGUGGUGACUCUUUAGUUAACAAUUAAUUGAGGAAUCACCAAUAUGUUAUACUCUAAUUUGAUCUGUGUUAAAAUGGGGUAUAACAACUACCAUGUUAAACAUGUAUGGUUUGUAACAAGUGUUCAUCCUCUCUGUCUGUUUCGAACCUUUUCAUUUGCCUUUUGGGUAAAUUGUGUUGUUUUUUCCUUUUUGAUUGCCCUUUGGCCUGGAUAAUAUGUCGGUACCAUUGCUUUUUUGAAACUUGAACAUUCAUUCCCAUACCAUUUUGCUCAUAGUGCAUAGUUGAUAGCAUGUUAGAAACUUGAGCGUCCACCAGAUUGUAUAGAGAAUCGGGUUCUCUUUGAAUUUCCACUGAAGAUAUUAAUGAACCAAAUUGUAUAGCGAUUUGGUCCUAUAUCGGUUUGGUACAGUGCUAACUACUGAAUAAGUAUAUAAAUAAGAUACAUGAUAAGUUCCCACUAUAUAGAGAACCAAAUUCUCUAUAAAUUUCCACUGUAAGCAACAGGCUGUAAAACAGCCAGUAUAGGGAAUCAUGUUCUCUAAUUGUUCUUGCAGUAGCUCGGUAGUAAGUAAAGAACAUAGAGGAUUUUUAUGUGGAAAAAUCUCAACUCAAAGAGACAAAACCACGACCUACAUUUAUAGGUUUUCAACUUCACUAACUUGUAAACCCCUAUGACAAGCCACUUUGUAAUAACUUUAUUACAAAAGGAUUCAACUCAACUAACUUGUGGUACUCUCACCACAAGCCACUUUGUGACUCUCUAGUUACAAAAACUUUGACUAACUUGUGAUAUUCUCAUCAUAAGCCACUUUGUAAUAACUCUAUUACAAAGACUUCAAUCACUCUAACUUGUAAUAACACUAUUACAAGCCACUUUAUAACUCUCUAGUUACAAGGACUUUAACUUAUGACUAAACCUAGUCACAACAUAAACUGGAGAGUUUACGAAUUUGGGUUUUCUGAAAACAGCUUCUAAAAAGCAAGAUAAGAGUUACAAUGAAGAACAAAUAUCAAAGACUCAACAAAUCUAAGGACUUAAGAUAUCUUCAAUCUUGGAUCCGGUCCUUGAGGUUGAAACAACUUUGUUCUUGAGAGAGGUUGUUCUUGCACUUGAGAGAAUAUUUUCGUUUUUGAUUUUGCAAGUCUUGAACUUGAAUCUUGUGCCUUGCAUAAGGUUUAUACUACAAAAGACAUCACCUUAGUGAUGUCAAAUCUUGUUUAGUACAUGCCUCCUCUCGAUGGGAAGUGACGGCUGCACUGUUUGCUGUAUUGUUUGCUGCACUGUUGCAGGCAGUCACUUUCCAGCUGUAUUGUUGACUUAUACUUCUGUCGGGGGAACAUAAAGGUAUCAGGUCCCUAAUCUGGUUCCUGUGAAUCUGAAGGCACACUGCCCAUAUUAUCUUGAGUUGAUUAACUUGAAUGAUUGUACCAGACAUGAUUCAGGUCCUUUAUCUGGUUCUCUCAUGAGGUAAGUCAUUUUACCUUCCUUGAUUGUAUUUGUACGUGUGUGACAUCACAUACAAUGAUGUAAGCAAGGUAGGUAAAAAAGCCUUCCACAGAAAGUUGACUGUUGCACUGUUCCUAUACAAUAGCGUGUGCAGGCAGCAACUUUCCUACUAGGGAGUUGACUUCAUACAGUCUCGGGAACUGGUAGGGACCUGUUCCCUAAGCUGUUCCUUCUACUCUUUCUCACUUGAGUCAUUGCUAUCAGCUUUGAGUACCAGGUUCUUUUCUUUCUUUGGUUCUCUUCCUUCACUGUCUAUCUGACUUUUCAUCUCGUAGGUCUUCAGAUUUCCAACCAGCUCUUCUUUGGUCAGCUCCUGCAGGUCCUUUGAUUCAGUAAUAGCAUUCACCUUGCUUUCCCAAGGGCUGGAUCCCAACCUAGAACUUUAUGAUCUCAAGAUCUUGUAGAUGUGUAACAGAUUCCUUAUCUGGUUCUAAAUUAUAAGUUUGUUAGAUCAUCAAAACAUAAAGUAAAGUACUUGUGUCCAAGGUACUUGUAACCUAUCAUAGCCUUAUUGUGCCACACACUUGUCUCCCUCCCAUGAACUCGUAAUAUCAUUGUGUCUGGUUUGUUGAGUUUAUCAUACCACCACUUCACCACCGGUAGUCUCACUUUCCAUUGUAAUAUGUAGACAUGAACUCCUUGUAGAUUUUUAGUUGAUAUUCAGUGUCACCCAAGUCGGUUGCAGUACAGUUAGUCCUUUAUUCCUUCUAUUAACACUUGUGCUAUAGACGAGUCCACCAUUGAUACGAACUAUUUUACGAUAACUAUUUCCUCAAUUUAUAGAUUUUCUUCCCAUUUCUUUUCGCCUCAUUCUUCCUAUUUAGUGAAUAACUAUACACUCUUCCAUAUAUUACGUGGUAUUCUACCUUAGUUGGGAAUUCAUCCUGCUCAGCUCUCGACAUAUGUUAUUUGUGGGAAAGUGUGUUAAUCCGCAUAUUCUACCUUAGUUGGGAAUUCAUCCUGCUCAGCUCUCGACAUAUGUUAUUUGUGGGAAAGUGUGUUAAUCCGCAUAUCACUUAACAUUUCUUUGCUUGUAAGAUUCUUAAUAGACUCUCCAUCAAGUCCAAAUGCACUCUUGAGUUAUUAUAGCAUCACAUUUAUUUCUCCCACUCGUUCUGUUUUUCUUAAAGCGUUGGAACUUUAGUUUAAUCGCAAAUCCAUGAUUAACCCAUUCUAAAAACUCACAAUCUUUCACAUUUGGUCUAUAGUACUUUCUUGGUUUCAGUCACACCCCAAACCUGGGGAGGCGUGCCUGGCACCCGGUGUCGUACUGGCAUGAGCGAACCACUCUAUAUCUCUUUUUUUCCUUCUGUAACUAUCAUGUGCCAACAUGACCACUACACAUAAUGUAUAGCUAUAAGUUAGAAAAUACUGUAUCAAUAAACCAUCUUUCUUAAAACAUGAAUACAUCUGGGCCGUCAAGGCCUCUGACAUGCUGUACAAAAUGAACCUCUGUCUACAAAGCCUUUAAGAUUAUUUGACAUCAAAUGGGACAGGGUACCAGACUACCCAUAGGUCUGUAGCAAAACUCUGACAUGAUGACUCAUAGACUCGAAUGCACUCCGAAUGAGGUGGAGUCUUACUGAUCCUUCGCUGAAUGUCAACCUCAUCCACUAUGAGGGAUCGUCAAACUGAUUAUCUAUACAUGCAGACAUGAAUGUAGCAUCCCCAACAAAAGAAAUUCAGUAAAAUAAUGUACCGAGUAUGUAAGGCAGAACUGAACUAUAACAAUAAGUCAACAUUAAUCAAAGACAUAUAAAAAUCAACCUGAAUCUCUGAAGUGCCACCGUAUAUGCAUACUUAUUAUACUUAUAUAUAUAUAUAUAUAUAAUAAUUCUCUUUGAAUCUAUUAUCCAUAUCAUACGAUGCAUGACUGCCCAACUUAUCAGUGGUAACUACUCGAUUGGUCGUAGCGCGGUGGUAAAUGCAUGACUGUCCGACCGACCAUAGGUUGAUGGUAAACGAAUAUGCAUGACUGCCCAAUCGGUGGUAAAUAAUGAUAUAUAACUGCCCAACCUGGUAACUGUCCGAUCAGCCGUAGCACGGUGGUAAAUGCAUGACUGCCAGACUGGUCGUAGCUCAGUGGUUAAUGUGUAACUGCCCUACCGAUCGUAGCUCGUUGGUAAAUGAUGAUGCAUAUAAUAGCAUUAUAAACAUUAACAUUUUUAUCAAAUACCUCAAUAGGGAACUCGAUACAUAGUUAGACAUGUUUGAAUAGCAUUAUACAGGAAUGAAUAACGUAGACUUUUUUAGUUACUAAGAGUAGAACCAUUUAUGAAAUAACAUUACGGUUAUGUAUCGUUACUUGGAUCAUGCCAAAAGAAAGAAAGAUAAGCCUUAAAAUACAUGAGCCGAUUCUCUUGACAUUCCCUCUAACACAUGACUUUUGCGAAAACAUGUAUUGUCGGAUCGAAAUAGGAAAAAAUUCAUAUGAUAUUCUUGAGAAAAAUUGCACUGUAUCCCCUUAAAAUUGCAACAACCAGAGUAGAAUAUGAUUCUUGUCUUGGACGUUAACAUAGCCAUCAUGAGUCUUAAGACAUUAUUUUCCAUUUAAUGGUGAUAUUCCCAUAAAAUGAAAGCUAAAUAUUGGAGAAGCUUCAAAUUCCAAUUAAAACCAUGCUGAUGAAGCAAUGCAAGACUUCCAAAAAUGUGACACCACUGUAGCAUUCACACAUUACUCAUACAUUCUUUAGUUGUUAUGGUCCCCGUGGAUCAACAAUUCUUAAAUUAACAAUUACACAAUUAUCCACAUAGUUAAGAAUUAUCUCAAAUUACUUAAAAUAGUACUCACUUUUAACAUACCUUAUACAUCUUACUAUUAUGGUCAUGUGGUAUCAUGUAUGACACUAGUCCAUAAAUACUGAGUAUUUUAGCUAGGGCCGUAUUUUAUUCUAACAUGUCAAAUUUUGACGAAAAUUCAGUUUCUUUGAUUUGCUUACCGUCUCACCUUCACGAAUU